GCAGUGGGCUAAAGUAGACAACAAUGUUAGCUUUGUUCUUCAGUUCAAUGGCAGACAGGAAAAUAUUACUUCACCAGUAGGAAAUGGACCAAUAUCUUACACUGUGAUCAACCUUCAUCCUCAAACAAAAUACACAUUUACCCUCUUCUCUGUGUUUGAGAACGUCACAAGCACUGGAGUCAUUGUGUCUGCAGUAACUGACAAAGUGCACAAAUUUAUUAAGACACUGAUCAUCAGAAUCAAUUCAUCUAGCCUGAGUGCUUCACAAAUAGAAGAACUUGUGAAAGAGCAUCUCAAAAAAAUUGAAAAGUCUGCAGACUUAAUAAAAUUUACCAGGAGGACAUGAGAGGCGAAGACAAAAGUGGAUUCUGGAAAUUUCUACACAGUUUUUUUAUUUUGCAUCUUAGUACACGUAUAAUAAAAUAAAUAGGUAAUGUUUUUGCUUUUUUAUUUUAUUUUGUAUAACUUCUUAUGUAUUGUUUUAAUGUUUAAAUAAAUAUACCAUUGAUUUUAGGCCUCUUAAAGUAAAAUGAUCUAGAUUAGGCAUUUCUACUGUAAAGAUGUGUGUAAAUAUUCCCAGAUGUGUACCGUAUUAGCAAUAUUGAGCUCAAAUGUCUAAGAAAACCAUGAAAUGUUUAGAAAACAAUGCAAGUGUGUAACUAUUUCUUUUUUUUUUUAUGCCAAAUGUUAAAACUGGGUUUAAACCAGACCCGGCUUGUUAUACAAGAAACUACAUGCAGUUUGUUGUGCAUGUAGGAGGGUCUCUUACAAUGUUAUCCAUGCUGUCACAACUCAGCAUGAAUUUUUGCAUUUUUGUGGUUAACCUUUUAUGACCUUGCAGUUUCACAGGUUUUUUUUUAGUGCAAUUUUGCAUGCUUUUGCUUCUGUUCUUUCUUUUUUUUAAUACAAUUUGAGUUUAUUAUUGCAACAAAAAGCUUGAACAACCAGAAUGUUUGUUCCACAAAAGAGGCAAAUGGCCAAACUGUUCUUGUUUUUCAGCAUUACAAAGUAAAAGACAA